ensembl:lincRNA
AUGAGUUUCCCAAGAUGUCCCAGUUGGUUCUUCACCUUUUGCCCACGGAGAACCAGAGAAUCUUGUGUCUUCUUCAGGGAAUGCCCUCAUCCUUCCACAGUCAGGUCCCAUCUUAUUCAGAAUACCUAUUUCUCCCAUCCAGCUGAAGUCAUUGUUCUCUGCCUUGGCUCCACUUUGGAAACACCUGAGAAUCUUUAAAAACUAUUCAUUAGGGGCACCUGGGUGGCUCAGUCGGUUAAGCCUCUGCCUUCAGCUCAGGUCAUGAUCCCAGGGUCCUGGGAUCGAGCCCCAUAUCGGGCUCUCUGCUCAGCAGGGAGCCUGCUUCCCCCCCACUUCUGUCUGCCUGCCUCUCUGCCUACUUGUGAUCUCUCUCUGUCAAAUAAAUAAAUAAAAUCUAAAAAACAACAACAAAAAAAAACUAUUCAUUAACUGGGUCUUAGCCCUGCAGUUUCAGAUUUAAUUGGUCUGAGGCCUGGUAUCAGGAUUAGAAAAAAAAAAAACAACUCCCCAAAAUAUUCUAAUAUGCAGCUAAUGUUGGGAACCACUGAACUCAAGACAGUUUGUUCUGCCAAAUAUUUUUAAAUUUUUCAUCAUGUUCCUCACAUUAACCUGGAAAGAAUGGUAACAAUUAAAGAAUGGCAACCACCACAGGAAGUAGCUAAAAUUCAGCCUUCCAGGUUAGAGGAGGAAAAGAAGAACAACCAAAAACAAACAAACAAACAAACAAAAACAACCAACCCUAUAUUAUCAUAUCCUUGAGGAAUAAUAGGAUUCUUUAUUAUAGGGUAAUCUCAUGCUUUCCAUAACUUAGAAGCAAUUGCUUCCAAACAAGUGCCUCACUGAAUGGAGGCAUCUGAGGUUUUAGAACUGAUGAAAUCAUACAUCAGAGCAGGCAUAUGUUAACCCCAAACUGUGACUAGAAAGUUGGAUGGCAUAUUUGGGGUAUCACUGCUUUGGCAAAGACAAAUGAGGGGAGGCGGUGUACGUGAUGGUAGGAGGUGAAGAUCCUUGGGUAGGAGGAUCUGUAACAAGCUAUGGUUCCCCUGAAAGGCCAGAGGAGAAAUGAGGAUGUGUUGCAAGUGGCCGAAGGGGGAUCGAUAGUGGGAAUAAUUAACAUGUUUUCCAAAAUGGGCUGGUCUCCCUGUUGGAGAAGAUAUUGAAAUAACUUACUGUACUUCUGCUUUCAAGUUUUCUGAGAGCAUGAAGGACCCCUAUACAGAGUAGAAUAUGACAUCCAGGUAGGCAGCCCAAAAAAGAACGGAAGAAUCAAGGCAGGUGGUGGAGGCCUAACAAAAUCCAAGCGAAGUGGUCAGGCUGCGGCUCUGUCGGUGGUGAAAUAAGCAUGCGUAAGACAUGUGAUCAUUUCUCCGAUGAAGCCUGGCUUGGUUUAGGCUCUCUGUUAUGUUGGUUGCCCUCCCAAAGCCACAGCGAUGAAAGUAGCAAAAAUCUGUAUUCCGAGGAGGAUAUGAAAGAUGGUAAGUGCAAUGAAAGGAAGGCCUACCACAGCAGAAACUGAAUCAGGGUUUGUUUUUUGUUGUUGUUUUGUUUUGUUUUGUUUAAUUUAUUUAUUUGUUAGAGAGCAAGCGAGCACAGGCAGACAGAGUGGUAGGCAGAGGCAGAGGGAGAAGCUGGC